rnacentral:rRNA from 1 species
AGAUUAAGUUAUUAAGGGCGCACGGUGGAUGCCUUGGCACUAGAAGCCGAUGAAGGACGUUACUAACGACGAUAUGCUUUGGGUAGCUGUAAGUAAGCGUUGAUCCAGAGAUUUCCGAAUGGGGGAACCCAGCAUGAGUUAUGUCAUGUUAUCGACAUGUGAAUUCAUAGCAUGUCAGAAGGCAGACCCGGAGAACUGAAACAUCUUAGUACCCGGAGGAAGAGAAAGAAAAAUCGAUUCCCUGAGUAGCGGCGAGCGAAACGGGAAUAGCCCAAACCAACAAGCUUGCUUGUUGGGGUUGUAGGACACUCUAUACGGAGUUACAAAAGAACAUGUUAGACGAAUCAUCUGGAAAGAUGAAUCAAAGAAGGUAAUAAUCCUGUAGUCGAAAACAUAUUCUCUCUUGAGUGGAUCCUGAGUACGACGGAGCACGUGAAAUUCCGUCGGAAUCUGGGAGGACCAUCUCCUAAGGCUAAAUACUCUCUAGUGACCGAUAGUGAACCAGUACCGUGAGGGAAAGGUGAAAAGUACCCCGGAAGGGGAGUGAAAGAGAACUUGAAACCGUGUGCUUACAAGUAGUCAGAGCCCGUUAAUGGGUGAUGGCGUGCCUUUUGUAGAAUGAACCGGCGAGUUACGAUCUGAUGCAAGGUUAAGCAGCAAAUGUGGAGCCGCAGCGAAAGCGAGUCUGAAUAGGGCGUUGAGUAUUUGGUCGUAGACCCGAAACCAGGUGAUCUACCCUUGGUCAGGUUGAAGUUCAGGUAACACUGAAUGGAGGACCGAACCGACUUACGUUGAAAAGUGAGCGGAUGAACUGAGGGUAGCGGAGAAAUUCCAAUCGAACUUGGAGAUAGCUGGUUCUCUCCGAAAUAGCUUUAGGGCUAGCCUCAAGUGAUGAUUAUUGGAGGUAGAGCACUGUUUGGACGAGGGGCCCCUCUCGGGUUACCGAAUUCAGACAAACUCCGAAUGCCAAUUAAUUUAACUUGGGAGUCAGAACAUGGGUGAUAAGGUCCGUGUUCGAAAGGGAAACAGCCCAGACCACCAGCUAAGGUCCCAAAAUAUAUGUUAAGUGGAAAAGGA